rnacentral:SRP_RNA from 2 species
GCCAGGCGUGGUGGUGCAUGCCUGUAAUCCCAGCUACUCAGGAGGCUGAGGCAGGAGAAUUGCUUGAACCCGGGAGGCAGAGAUUGCAGUGAGCUGAGAUCGCACCACUGCACUCUAGCCUGGGUGACAGAGCGAGACUCUGUCUCAA